GACGAACGCUGGCGGCGUGCCUAAUACAUGCAAGUAGAACGCUGAAGGAGGAGCUUGCUUCUCUGGAUGAGUUGCGAACGGGUGAGUAACGCGUAGGUAAUCUACCUGGUAGCGGGGGAUAACUAUUGGAAACGAUAGCUAAUACCGCAUAAGAGUAGAUGUCGCAUGACAUUUGCUUAAAAGGUGCAAUUGCAUCACUACCAGAUGGACCUGCGUUGUAUUAGCUAGUUGGUGAGGUAACGGCUCACCAAGGCAACGAUACAUAGCCGACCUGAGAGGGUGAUCGGCCACACUGGGACUGAGACACGGCCCAGACUCCUACGGGAGGCAGCAGUAGGGAAUCUUCGGCAAUGGACGGAAGUCUGACCGAGCAACGCCGCGUGAGUGAAGAAGGUUUUCGGAUCGUAAAGCUCUGUUGUAAGAGAAGAACGAGUGUGAGAGUGGAAAGUUCACACUGUGACGGUAUCUUACCAGAAAGGGACGGCUAACUACGUG
rnacentral:rRNA from 1 species